UACAGAGGUCUCAAGCGUUGUUCGGAUUCAUUGGGCGUAAAGGGUGCGUAGGUGGCGCCGUAAGUCAGGUGUGAAGUUUCGGAGCUCAACUCCGAAACUGCAUUUGAUACUGCGGUGCUUGAGGACUGGAGAGGAGACUGGAAUUCACGGUGUAGCAGUGAAAUGCGUAGAUAUCGUGAGGAAGACCAGUGGCGAAGGCGGGUCUCUGGACAGUUCCUGACACUGAGGCACGAAGGCCAGGGGAGCAAACGGG
rnacentral:rRNA from 1 species